AUCUUCCGUUAUUUGAACAAAUUACAUACGCGAGAAGCAUCUCUCAAGAACUUGUUGCGAGGCACUGUGCAACCGAGAAAUUUGCUCGUUCAUGAUAUGCUCCAUCAUUCGGUUGUUCUCACGCGAACACUCGAAAAAC
ensembl:ncRNA C14A11.13 ncRNA